AAAAGACCCUUUUAAUAACAUCUUAAUAUAGCAUCUUAUAAAAUAUGCUAUUAAAAAUAGAAGGAAAAGGCAGGAUGGGAAAAAAAUUAGGUCGCGUGUACGCAUCUUCCCUCUUCCACAUACGGUUCUUCCCCAUUUUCCCUCUUCCACUGUUCUCCUUCUGCCCAUGUUCUUGCUUCCGUUGUUCUUCCCAAUUUUCUCUCUUUUUCCUCUCUCUCUCUUGCAUUUUCUCCGCUCGUCUCUCCAUCUUCUACUCCGCUCGUGCACCAUCUACAUCAUUCGCCCAAAUCUGCAGUCUACAACUCCACCAUUCGCCCAAGUCCGCCAUCUCCUUGAGACCCACUAUUCUAAUGUUCCUUUUUCACCAUUUCAUCAAUUAAAAGUAGCUUUUGUGAGACUGUUCUAAGGUGAGUCUGAGAAGUUUUCAUUAUUUUACAUUUGUAUUUUUUUCUGCUUUAUUUGUUUAGUUGUGAGAUUAAUGGGUUUUUGAAGCUGUUUGAUUCUGGUUAUUCUGACAUUUUUUUUUUGGUGAUUCCUUGGGCCAAUCAAACGCUGUGAAUCAUAAUGCGGGGGUUUGAGCAUAGAAGAUUCAAGUAGAACAGUAAGAGGAGUUGAAGUUUGAACCACAACCUCGAAAAGCAUCGUUCGAUUACUGUGGUAUUUCUUUUCUUUUUAUGGAUCUUGUAAUUUGGGCAGCUGGGAUAUUGCUGGUUUUGAAAUUUUUGUAAUGAAAUUUGAAUUUUAAGUCGUUUGUUUGGGUUUUCGAAUCACUUAAACGUGAAAGAGAGAGAUUCCAUGGGGAAGCUGAGUUUAUUCAUACAUUGUCAAAGGAUUUUUGGGUGCUUGAUCUUAAAAAAUAAUCGUGAUUACAAGCUAUUAUUGGGUCAGAGGUAUGCUCGAAAUCUAGCAUUUACUACGUAGGUUGAGCAAGUAAGGAUUUGGUAUUGAGGCCUCUUUGUGCCUCCUCUUGGGGAACUCUAUAUCCAAAACAUGAUGUAUUUGAGAUCCAAAGUUUGAUUAUAAAACUUGAUUUGUAAGCACUAUUUUAGUUUAGUUUUUUAGUUUGUUUGUAGAUAUGUAGCGCUACAAACCCAUAUAAAAUUUGUCUCGUUACUACCAAAAUUAUUUACCAAUUUGCAUCUUCAUGUUCUGUAA